rnacentral:rRNA from 1 species
UACGUAGGUCCCGGGCGUUGUCCGGAUUUAUUGGGCGUAAAGCGAGCGCAGGUGGUUUAUUAAGUCUGGUGUAAAAGGCAGUGGCUCAACCAUUGUAUGCAUUGGAAACUGGUAGACUUGAGUGCAGAAGAGGAGAGUGGAACUCCAUGUGUAGCGGUGAAAUGCGUAGGUAUAUGGAAGAACACCAGUGGCGAAAGCGGCUCUCUGGUCUGUAACUGACGCUGAGGUUCGAAAGCGUGGGUAGCAAACAGG